rnacentral:lncRNA from 1 species
UUAUAAAGAAUUUUUUUAGAUAACCAUAUUCUAACCAAAGUCAGCAUGGAAACAAUAUUUUUAAUCAGGAGAAUGUCAUUCACGUACAAUACAAGGAUCAUAACAAUACUUCCACUGACCUUAUAAACACAUGUUUCCUCCUCUUCUUGAUGAUAUCAAACAAUUUGAUACAUCGAGUGUUCCAAUUCUGAGACACUUGUUUUAAAUCCUUUUGCAGAUCCAUUUGAAUCUAAUAGGUACUAUACCUGC